rnacentral:SRP_RNA from 1 species
GACAAUGGCGGGCUAGUGAAUUGUGUCAGAUCCGGAAGGAAGCAGCACUAAGCAAGUGCCGCCAUGUGUC